AACAACAAUGAGCUAACAAUCCAGGGAUAAGCUAAGUAAGACAAAAAUUAGUUGCCUUGAUAAUUAAGAGGUGUACCUUAAUAGUCACCUGAAGCCUCUGCAGAACAUGUCAUAAUGGAAUCAAUGACCUGUGGACAUUCACUAAGAUGACUAUGUAUCAGAAAAGCAGUAACAACCAGACUUCUCAGACCUCCUGAAUUAUGUGUGGACAAGAUGACAAGAAAGUGCCAUGCCUCUGCCUCUAGCUGACCAGUGGCCCUGAUGACCAAGCCCUUGGCAACGGUUCUCACAGUAUAGUCACCAAAUAAACAACAUCAGUAUCACCCAGGAAGUUUGCUAGAAACUUAGAUUUUUAGGCCUCACAUCUACUCAAUAAGAACUGGAGGUCUGGUACAGCAAUCUGAAUUGUAACAAAAGCCCUCUGUGUGAUUCUGAAGACGCUGCAGUUUGAAAACCACUGAUCUAAAGGAAAGCCUGGAACUUUUCAGAAAAUAAGGAUAUUCUGCUAAGACAUAGGAUCAUCACUGCAGAGGAGAAGGUCGACAUGUUCAAUUUGCAAAUGUAAGAAA